AAGACCUUGCACUCUUGGAGCGGCCGAUGUCUGAUUAGCUAGUUGGUGGGGUAAUGGCCUACCAAAGCUUCGAUCAGUAGCUGGUCUGAGAGGACGGCCAGCCACACUGGGACUGAGACACGGCCCAGACUCCUACGGGAGGCAGCAGUGGGGAAUUUUGGACAAUGGGCGCAAGCCUGAUCCAGCCAUGCCGCGUGAGUGAAGAAGGCCUUCGGGUUGUAAAGCUCUUUCAGCCGGGAAGAAAAGGUUGCGACUAAUAAUCGCAAUUCAUGACGGUACCGAAGGAAGAAGCACCGGCUAACUACGUGCCAGCAGCCGCGGUAAUACGUAGGGUGCGAGCGUUAAUCGGAAUUACUGGGCGUAAAGGGUGCGCAGGCGGUUUUGUAAGUCAGAUGUGAAAUCCCCGGGCUUAACCUGGGAACU
rnacentral:rRNA from 1 species